AUUUUUUUAUCUGUGUUGGCGAAAGAUUACCUUACCUGCCGAACUACUUUUUCAUUUCUUACUUAGUUUUAUUUUAUUUUUGGUAUUUAUAUUUUACCUACAUAUGCGGAAUAGUCGUUUCACGUGGAUUUAAUAGUUUCCCCUGUUCUCGUGUAUUUUUAAUUUUAAAAAGUUUGGUGACCCUUGACCGAGUGACGUCAAUAUAUCUGCGCGAGCGCGCGAGUGAUUAAAUAGCGUCAAACAAAGUUUGGUGGUUUUUGAACUAAAACCUGUUCUCUGUCCUAUUUUUUUUUUUUUAAGUCUGCUUCCAGGAUUACCGUGUGCGACCCAAAUGGCAUCGAGAACGGUAGCUAGUGCCAGGGGAUUUUUCGAUUUUCUUCAAUCAUUUCAAAAAGAGGAAAACAACAAUCACUGUAUAUAUGAGGACGAUUUUCAAAUAUUAAAGUUAAGGAGAGAUACAGUUCCUGUUGUCAGUAAAUACUGUGAAAACCCAAUGGUUAUUAUUUGUCAAAAAGCUGAUCCAAAAUCAAAUGGAAAUGAUGAAUCUAAAAUGAAUGAGUCCUCACACACUGAUGAUGAAGAUCAUGCAAAUGACGAAAACGAUGUAGACCAAAUUGAACCGAGUCCCCAGCCACUUACAGUCAUGAAAGCACGGCAGAUACUAUCUUGGUACACAUUAUCUCAAAACCCUUGUGUGUCAGGUGUGGCCAACAAUGCAGCUCUGCAUCCUUUGUGGGUGCGUUGUGAUAUGUCUGAUCCUGCUAAAACAAUGUGGAUGGGAGCUGAAACAGUCUGCACAGGAACUAAUGUAUCUGGUGUUAUAUUAUACUCUAUAACCAGUAAAGACUCAGCAGUAAACAAAGAAGCUUUAAUAACCUUGGAUGAGGUCAAGAGAGAACACAAGAAAAGACAUCACACAUCCUUGAUGCAAACAAAAGGCACUGCCAGGUUCAACUUGUUUGGCUCCACUGUUGUUGAAAACACCUUGAUUAAGUCACAGAGUAGUAUAACAGUGGAUUUAAACUGGAGUCAUGUAGACGGCGUCCUGGAAACCCCACCUCUGUCCUCAACAGCCACACUGAAUAUCAGAGUUGCCACUGGGGACUUGAGGAGCCCCAUGUCUGACAUGUACAGGGAGCUGGAGUUUCUCCAGUCUCUUGCUGAUGGUUUGAGAACCGGUGAGACCGAAUGGAUAGAACCUUUGGAGAGUACAUCUGCUAUAAAGCUCACCAAGGCCUAUUUGGAAGAGAUUCAAGACAUUGCAAAAACAUCCCAGGACCGGCCUACAAAAACAGAAGAUACCAAAGAGGUGAAGCCUGAGACAGACACUCCCAUUUUCUCUCUGUCUCUCCUGGAACGAAGCGACUUUGAUUUUGUGGAAGAGUUGUGGGUCCGCCUGAGAAAGAGUGUGGCAUCAUAUCAGGACAUUACAGAUAGUCUGAAAUUAGUCAUUGGAACUCUAAGUAAUGGACAAAUCAAACCCUGGAUUCACAAAGACAGCAAUAGCUCCCUCAGUAAACUCAUCCUACAGUCCCACAAGCAGCAGAUCGACGUGUCUCUCACGGGUCUCACUCCUAUCCACAUGCUGCUGGAAAUGGGACUGGACAAAAUAAGGAAGGAUUAUGUUAACUAUCUCAUUGGUGAAGAAUUGGCCACUCUGAACCACUUGUGUUAUUACCUCAGCACCGAAGUGGACCUGCAAGAGCAAGUGAGCCGACUGAGGAAACUGCACCAUCUACUGGAAACAACCGUCACCUGCCGUACAUUCCUGGGUUUGCCUUAUGACCGUCUGUUUCUGCUAACACAGAUGUGUUCAGAACACUACAAAACGAACCCAUAUGACGAGAAACAUGAAUUCAAGCUCAAAAUCAAAUCAGCUCUGAUCAGCCAUUUUUAUCAGAAAGAGCAACCAACUGAGUGGGUGGCCGAGGUGUUCAGUGGUCAUAGCCCUCAUGAGGUCAGAACAUCCUUGCAUUUGAGUGACAGACCACUGUGUGACCAUGUCAACUUUUCAACAGGUAUCCUGGAUGAAACCAAUGGUGACAGUGAGGAUCCUGUGUUUUUCUCCGCCAUGGUGUGCGCCAGUGUGGUCAAGUUAUGCUGAAAUAACUCUGAAAUCUGUGUAUGUAUAAAGUAAAAUGUAGCUUGCACAUUAAUAUAUUGUAUCAUAUAAACUGUUUGCUAUAGCAGCUGUAAAUCCUUAAACAAAACGUCUAAAAAGCUUCUAAAGUCACGGUGACAGUGAAUUUCCACAGCAGUGUUUUAUUAGUGAAGUCAAACUUGUCGCAGGACUGUUCACACUGAUUUGUACCUGUCAAAUGAAUGACAUUAGUAAUCUCCCCAAGUACAUCUGAAAUACCGGGGUUGCAUUCAAACCUGCUCCAUUGUUGUGUUGUUGCUUUAAACACACACGCACGUCUAGUUUCGCCUCCGCAACAAAAACAUAAGCAAGAUGGCACUGAGCAGAAUGGAAAGUGUGCACACGGUGGGUACGACGAUCUCCGUCACCAUCUCCAUGUGGCUGGUCAGGGGAUCUGUGAACACACAGU